rnacentral:rRNA from 1 species
CCCUUAGAUGUUCUGGGCUGCACGCGCGCUACACUGAAGCUAUCAACACGUUUUCCCUCCCUGAGAAGGGCGGGUAACCUUUUGAAUCAGCUUCGUGGUAGGGAUCGGGGCUUGCAAUUGUUCCCCGUGAACCAGGAAUUCCUAGUAGACGCGAGUCAUAAGCUCGCAUCGAUUAAGUCCCUGCCCUUUGUACACACCGCCCGUCGUUACUACCGAUUGAACGUUUUAGUGAGGCAUUUGGACCGACGCAUCUCAGUUUAACCGCUGGUUUGUGUUGGAAAGACUUCCAAACUUGAGCGUUUAGAGGAAGUAAAAGUCGUAACA